UGCAGUCGAACGCGUUGGCCCAAUUGAUUGAUGGUGCUUGCACCUGAUUGAUUUUGGUCGCCAACGAGUGGCGGACGGGUGAGUAACACGUAGGUAACCUGCCCAGAAGCGGGGGACAACAUUUGGAAACAGAUGCUAAUACCGCAUAACAGCGUUGUUCGCAUGAACAACGCUUAAAAGAUGGCUUCUCGCUAUCACUUCUGGAUGGACCUGCGGUGCAUUAGCUUGUUGGUGGGGUAAUGGCCUACCAAGGCGAUGAUGCAUAGCCGAGUUGAGAGACUGAUCGGCCACAAUGGGACUGAGACACGGCCCAUACUCCUACGGGAGGCAGCAGUAGGGAAUCUUCCACAAUGGGCGCAAGCCUGAUGGAGCAACACCGCGUGAGUGAAGAAGGGUUUCGGCUCGUAAAGCUCUGUUGUUAAAGAAGAACACGUAUGAGAGUAACUGUUCAUACGUUGACGGUAUUUAACCAGAAAGUCACGGCUAACUACGUGCCAGCAGCCGCGGUAAUACGUAGGUGGCAAGCGUUAUCCGGAUUUAUUGGGCGUAAAGAGAGUGCAGGCGGUUUUCUAAGUCUGAUGUGAAAGCCUUCGGCUUAACCGGAGAAGUGCAUCGGAAACUGGAUAACUUGAGUGCAGAAGAGGGUAGUGGAACUCCAUGUGUAGCGGUGGAAUGCGUAGAUAUAUGGAAGAACACCAGUGGCGAAGGCGGCUACCUGGUCUGCAACUGACGCUGAGACUCGAAAGCAUGGGUAGCGAACAGGAUUAGAUACCCUGGUAGUCCAUGCCGUAAACGAUGAGUGCUAGGUGUUGGAGGGUUUCCGCCCUUCAGUGCCGGAGCUAACGCAUUAAGCACUCCGCCUGGGGAGUACGACCGCAAGGUUGAAACUCAAAGGAAUUGACGGGGGCCCGCACAAGCGGUGGAGCAUGUGGUUUAAUUCGAAGCUACGCGAAGAACCUUACCAGGUCUUGACAUCUUGCGCCAACCCUAGAGAUAGGGCGUUUCCUUCGGGAACGCAAUGACAGGUGGUGCAUGGUCGUCGUCAGCUCGUGUCGUGAGAUGUUGGGUUAAGUCCCGCAACGAGCGCAACCCUUGUUACUAGUUGCCAGCAUUAAGUUGGGCACUCUAGUGAGACUGCCGGUGACAAACCGGAGGAAGGUGGGGACGACGUCAGAUCAUCAUGCCCCUUAUGACCUGGGCUACACACGUGCUACAAUGGACGGUACAACGAGUCGCGAACUCGCGAGGGCAAGCAAAUCUCUUAAAACCGUUCUCAGUUCGGACUGCAGGCUGCAACUCGCCUGCACGAAGUCGGAAUCGCUAGUAAUCGCGGAUCAGCAUGCCGCGGUGAAUACGUUCCCGGGCCUUGUACACACCGCCCGUCACACCAUGAGAGUUUGUAACACCCAAAGUCGGUGGGGCUAACCUUUUAGGAGCCAGCCGCCUA
rnacentral:rRNA from 1 species